UACAGAGGUCUCGAGCGUUUGUUCGGAUUCAUUGGGCGUAAAGGGUGCGUAGGCGGCGCGGUAAGUCGGGUGUGAAAUCUUGGAGCUUAACUCCGAAACUGCAUUCGAAACUGGCGGGCUUGAAUAUGGAAGAGGGUCGCGGAAUUCCCGGUGUAGAGGUGAAAUUCGUAGAUAUCGGGAGGAACACCAGUGGCGAAGGCGGCGACCUGGGCCAAUAUUGACGCUGAGGUGGCGAAAAGCGUGGGGAGCAAACAGG
rnacentral:rRNA from 1 species